rnacentral:hammerhead_ribozyme from 1 species
GCACUGCUGACGAGUCCCAAACAAGACGCAAUAGCUGUCCAGUAC